CUCUGCAGCUCUACAGAGUGGAGUUUUUUUAAGACUCUUGUAGCUUUUUGUUUUGGUUUAUGGCACAUUAGCCGUGUGGCUCACUCUCACUACUCUCAUCCGACGUGUUUCCAGCAGCAGCAGCAGCAGGCGGCUCCUAAAGUCCUACAACUUGUGGCUCGAUGCGACAAGUUCGGGCACGUUCUGUGAAGAAGCUUCAUCUUCUCAUCUUAACAUGACAACGUAAAAUGUUCAACAUCUCUUCAAGGUAAAAGAAAAGCAUUCACUUCUACUCAUUGUGUAACCUCUCUCCCUCUUCCCUCCAUCCCUCCGUCUGUGAUCUCUGCAGUUAGAGCAGAUCAGAGCUAAGUGAGGCUAUCGGGUUUCUCCUCCCUCGACGGCUGUUUACAGGAGAGACGGAGCGGAACGGGCCUUGAACAAUGCAGAGUGAAUCUUCUCUUCUCUGUUCUGCAGCAUUCCCCGCAUUUCUACCACGGUUUGCUACAGUUCCUGUGG